rnacentral:rRNA from 1 species
UACAGAGGGUGCAAGCGUUAAUCGGACUUACUGGGCGUAAAGGGUGCGUAGGCGGGAGCUUAAGUUAGUUGUGAAAGGCCUGGGCUUAACCUGGGAACUGCAAUUAAGACUGGGCAUCUAGAGUUGAGUAGAGGGGAGCGGAAUUUCCGGUGUAGCGGUGAAAUGCGUAGAUAUCGGAAGGAACACCUGUUGCGAAGGCGGCUCUCUGGACUCAAACUGACGCUGAGGCACGAAAGCGUGGGUAGCGAACAGGAUUAGAUACCCUGGUAGUCCACGCUGUAAACGAUGAGUACUAGCUGUUGCUGUCGCGAGACGGCAGUAGCGAAGCAAACGCGAUAAGUACUCCGCCUGGGGACUACGGCCGCAAGGCUAAA